GGCACUUGGAGAAUAUAAUAGCCUAUAGAAGGAACUUGAUAAUACUAAGUUUAACACUUCAAAAUACAUUACUAUUGCCAUCUUCAUAUAUUUGGCCGUAUUUAAAAAAUAUUACAUAACACAAACACAUCACUUAAAGAACAUGAAAACCCUUCUUGGAUUAACGAAGUAUUUUUCUCAUUAAUACAAGGUUAUAGUGAAUUUAUUACGCAUGCUUACAUACAAACUAUACAAGAAACAGAAUAUUGUUAAGUUUAUAAUAAAUUGAAAAGAACUCAAAUAGCUUCAUUUCUAUUCAUUGUUGACCCCAAAAAAUUACAGUACCAUAUGAGGGAAUACCUGGAUAACAAAAAAGCAAAAGAUCAGUGAUGAAUGAAUAGAAAUUCCAGCAACAGUAACAACAGCCAUUCAGUGUGAGAAACAGCGCAGAAAAUCCCGUGAAGACACUUGAAACUAGUAACUAACAAUCUCAAAACUUAGCCAAACGAUUGCUUUAUUUUCUUAAUGAUUUUGCACUGUAUGAGUCACUCACAAAGCUCACAAAUUUCAACUUACUAAAAUAUUCAGCUGCUGAUUUUUUGUUCAAAGAUAUGUGUGUUCAAACAACUCUAAAGAUGUGUCCCAGUGUAAGAUAGAGUGUGAGCCCCUUUUAUAGGAGAAGAGCAUCCCUUUAAAUAGGCAAAUAAAUCAGAUUUUUUGGACAGAUUUUGGUUCACUAAAAGUCUAUCCAAAAGACUGACUUUGUGUGCUAAACACUAUUCAAAAGCUGUCAAAAAGUAUUGUAUUUGUCACCACCCAAUGACUUUUGAGUUUUGUACUCUAAAGUCUUUGCACAGUAAAAACAACCAAAUUUGUACUAUUCCAUCUUUAAUUUCAGCUUUAUCAACACAAAAUUCAAAUACUCAAAUCCAAUAAAAACAAAUUCACUAAGCACUUGAAACUUUUAUCAUAAACUAUCACGACUAAGCGAAUAGCUAUUUCAAAACUAAUGAAUAAACUAAUUAUCAGUGAUUAAUAACUAUGAAUGACUAAGCUAACAUAGAUUAAACACAACUAAUAAUAAAAAUAUAAAUAAUAUAAAUAAUAAUAAUAAAAAUAAAUAAAUAAAUAAAAUCAUAAAUUAUGCUAGACAUAAACUAAAUACAAUACAAUUAGAAAAAAUAGACAAAGGAAAUGAGAAUAGGGGUAUACCAAAGAGGGCGUUCGGGGUGGUCGCCGGAAUUUGGCCGAAUUUUUAGUUGCUAGAUUUUCGGGAUGGAAUUGACAUCAAUAGGUAGGUCUUGAUGAGCUAUAUCCGUUAGUGUAGGUAUUGUGGGGUGGUAGUGGCCGGAACUUCAAGAUUUUGGAAAAAAAGUGGCGGCUAAAGUUUCCUAGAUCUAAAAUUCAAGGAGUUUGAAGUGGUUUUGAAGGAUUUGGUUUGGAGAUAUGGAAAGAGGAGGUUGUGGAGAUUACAUGGUGUGAGUUUGGCCGCCGCCGGUGGGCGAUUUCUGGCGGGCGGCAGCGGUGGUGGGGGGCGGAUAUGGGAGAGAGAAGAGAGAGAGAAGAGAGAGGAAGAAGAAAAGAAUUAUGGGGGAAAUGAGGGAAUUUUUC
rnacentral:lncRNA from 1 species